GUUGUAUAAAAAUGAUAUGCAAUGAAGUCGUCUCCAUCAUCUAAUGAUAUCACAGAAAUCGCUCUGUGGAAAAUUCCACUUUUGAAGGUGAAUCCUUCGAUGUCCGUAAUGGCAACUGUAAAUCAAUUAUAAAUAAUUAUUAGAUAGUCACAUUAAUCGUUAUAAUGUUACGCGCCGUCUCACUAAGCGACAGGUGUUCGGUGGCCAGCGAUCAGAUGCGUUUGGCGAGCGAUCGUCUAGUGGUAAUUGUUUUAUUCUAUAGAAAGAUCCAGUGAACUAAGGUAAAUCUAACACUAUUUAUUCAAUUAACAACAACAAUUACACGACAAUACAGGAGUAAACAUCCACGUAUAUAACCUAACCUGUAUGCAGAUCAAUACGAUAAUAAUAGGCGACACCAAAUUACACUACUCGACCUCCAACUCUCCCGGAGCUAGAACAAGGAUAAAGAGAAUAAUUACCUCAGUGGUAGCAGCUCCGCAGAUCAGCUGUAGUUGGCAGGGAAAACUGAUUCUCGUGGCAGCAAAGGAAGUGUAGUCGUUCGCUAAACAGAUCGUUCUAAGGAAGAGUGAGCGGAGAGUGGUCGGACGCUUACGAUCCACACUUGCAGACAUUGGGACUCUGCUUAUGACGCUUUUUUUAGCAUGCCCCGUGGUAUGUGAUUGGACCCUUCCGGAUCCCAUCUUAGAAGUUUCCCCAUCUCUGAUGUCAGAGACGUGCACCUCUCAUCCUAUAGGAUCAAGACCCUUCCAAUCUCCCCUUAGAUUUUUUUCUUGUUUCUUCAUUAUGUCAGUCCAUACCAGCAAUCAUAAUCUAUUAAUCAUAAUCAAUGAUAUUUUCUGAAGGCGACUCGUUCUAAGUCGCCUGGUAGUUACAUUCCUUCCUCUCCGG
rnacentral:lncRNA from 1 species